CUACGGGUUGCUGCAGUGAGGAAUUUUGCGCAAUGGGGGGAACCCUGACGCAGCAACGCCGCGUGAGUGAAGAAGGCCUUUGGGUCGUAAAGCUCUGUCAACUGGGAAGAAAUUAGAGUUGUUUAACAGAUGAUUCUAUUGACGGUACCAGUGGAGGAAGCGCCGGCUAACUCCGUGCCAGCAGCCGCGGUAACACGGGGGGCGCAAGCGUUAUUCGGAAUUAUUGGGCGUAAAGGGCGCGCAGGCGGUCUUGUCGGUCAGGUGUGAAAGCCCGGGGCUCAACCCUGGAAGUGCACUGUGAAACAGCAAGACUUGAGUACGGGAGAGGAAAGCGGAAUUCCUGGUGUAGAGGUGAAAUUCGUAGAUAUCAGGAGGAACACCGAUGGCGAAGGCAGCUUUCUGGACCGAUACUGACGCUGGGGCGCGAAGGCGUGGGUAGCGAACGGGAUUAGAUACCCGCGUAGUC
rnacentral:rRNA from 1 species